rnacentral:rRNA from 1 species
UACGGGGGGGGCAAGCGUUGUUCGGAAUUACUGGGCGUAAAGGGCUCGUAGGCGGCCAACUAAGUCAGACGUGAAAUCCCCCGGCUUAAUCAGGGAACUGCGUCUGAUACUGGAUGGCUUGAGUUUGGGAGAGGGAUGCGGAAUUCCAGGUGUAGCGGUGAAAUGCGUAGAUAUCUGGAGGAACACCGGUGGCGAAGGCGACAUCCUGGACCAACACUGACGCUGAGUGAGCGAAAGCCAGGGGAGCAAACGGG